GUCAGUAGAGAAUGGUGACUAUGAUCCUGGACUUCAGAGUUAAACAGGUGACCUCUGAAUCUUACUAGGACUAGGAGUUGCAUGAAUUCAGCAAUGGCAUCAUUUCUACUAUUAUUCCAGGGAAAGUCCUUUUUCAGAAAUCAGUAAAUCAGUGGGUAUUUUUGGCCCUGCCUUCCUCCUGUGACAUCUGACUUGACAAAACCAAUCUUGAAUCCUGACUGGUGACUAUGGUAGUGAU